AGGACAAACGCUGGCGGCGUGCCUAAGACAUGCAAGUCGAACGGAAGGCUUCGGCCUUGAGUGGCGGACGGGUGAGGAGCGCGUGGAGAACCUGCCCCGGGGUGGGGAUAACAGUCGGAAACGAUUGCUAAGACCGCAUACGACCAUUCGUUGCAGGAUGAAUGGGGAAAGCAGCGAUGUGCCCUGGGAGGGCUCCGCGUCGGAUUAGCUAGUUGGUGGGUAACGGCCUACCAAGGCUGCGAUCCGUAGCUGGUCUGAGAGGACGGCCAGCCACACUGGGACUGAGACACGGCCCAGACUCCUACGGGAGGCAGCAGUUAGGGAAUUUUGUCAAUGGGCGAAAGCCUGAACGAGUGACGCCGCGUGCGGGAUGACGCCUUCGGGUGUAAACCGCUUUUCCCAAGGACGAGGAUGGACGGUACUUGGGGAAUAAGUCUCGGCUAACUACGUGCCAGCAGCCGC
rnacentral:rRNA from 1 species